GAUGAACGCUGGCGGCGUGCCUAAUACAUGCAAGUCGAGCGAACAGACGAGGAGCUUGCUCCUCUGACGUUAGCGGCGGACGGGUGAGUAACACGUGGAUAACCUACCUAUAAGACUGGGAUAACUUCGGGAAACCGGAGCUAAUACCGGAUAAUAUAUUGAACCGCAUGGUUCAAUAGUGAAAGACGGUUUUGCUGUCACUUAUAGAUGGAUCCGCGCCCCAUUAGCUAGUUGGUAAGGUAACGGCUUACCAAGGCGACGAUGCGUAGCCGACCUGAGAGGGUGAUCGGCCACACUGGAACUGAGACACGGUCCAGACUCCUACGGGAGGCAGCAGUAGGGAAUCUUCCGCAAUGGGCGAAAGCCUGACGGAGCAACGCCGCGUGAGUGAUGAAGGUCUUCGGAUCGUAAAACUCUGUUAUUAGGGAAGAACAAAUGUGUAAGUAACUAUGCACGUCUUGACGGUACCUAAUCAGAAAGCCACGGCUAACUACGUG
rnacentral:rRNA from 1 species